UUCCGGUUGAUCCUGCCGGACCCGACUGCUAUCAGAGUGAGAUUAAGCCAUGCGAGUUAACGUAGCAAUACGUGGCGCACGGCUCAGUAACACGUAGUCAACAUGCCCAGAGGACGUGGAUAACCUCGGGAAACUGAGUCUAAACCGCGAUAAGUGAGGAUUUCUGGAAUGGUUCCUGACUAAAAUCUAUAUGGCCUCUGGAUUGGACUGCGGCCGAUCAGGCUGUUGGUGAGGUAAUGGCCCACCAAACCUGUAACCGGUACGGGCUCUGAGAGGAGGAGCCCGGAGAUGGGCACUGAGACAAGGGCCCAGGCCCUAUGGGGCGCAGCAGGCGCGAAACCUCUGCAAUAGGCGAAAGCCUGACAGGGUUACUCUGAGUGACUUUCGCUAAGAAAGUCUUUUGGCACCUCUAAAAAGGGUGCAGAAUAAGGGGUGGGCAAGUCUGGUGUCAGCCGCCGCGGUAAUACCAGCACCCCGAGUGGUCGGGACGAUUAUGGGGCCUAAAGCAUCCGUAGCCGGUUCUGCAAGUCCCCCGUUAAAUCCAGCUGCUCAACAGAUGGGCCGCGGAGGAUACUACAGAGCUAGGAGGCAGGAGAGGCAAGCGGUACUCAGUGGGUAGGGGUAAAAUCCGUUGAUCCAUUGAAGACCACCAGUGGCGAAGGCGGCUUGCCAGAAUGCGCUCGACGGUGAGGGAUGAAAGCUGGGGGAGCAAACCGGAUUAGAUACCCGGGUAGUCCCAGCCGUAAACGAUGCAGACUCGGUGAUGGGUUGGCUUCGCGCUAACCCAGUGCCGCAGGGAAGCCGUUAAGUCUGCCGCCUGGGUAGUACGGUCGCAAGACUGAAACUUAAAGGAAUUGGCGGGGGGAGCA
rnacentral:rRNA from 1 species